AUUGAACGCUGGCGGCAUGCCUUACACAUGCAAGUCGAACGGUAACAGGUCUUCGGAUGCUGACGAGUGGCGGACGGGUGAGUAAUACAUCGGAACGUGCCUAGUAGUGGGGGAUAACUACUCGAAAGAGUGGCUAAUACCGCAUGAGAUCUACGGAUGAAAGCAGGGGAUCGCAAGACCUUGUGCUACUAGAGCGGCCGAUGGCAGAUUAGGUAGUGGGUGGGAUAAAAGCUUACCAAGCCGACGAUCUGUAGCUGGUCUGAGAGGACGAUCAGCCACACUGGGACUGAGAAACGGCCCAGACUCCUACGGGAGGCAGCAGUGGGGAAUUUUGGACAAUGGGCGCAAGCCUGAUCCAGCAAUGCCGCGUGCAGGAUGAAGGCCUUCGGGUUGUAAACUGCUUUUGUACGGAACGAAAAGCCCCGGGUUAAUACCCUGGGGUCAUGACGGUACCGUAAGAAUAAGCACCGGCUAACUACGUGCCAGCCGCCGCCGUAA
rnacentral:rRNA from 1 species